AAAGUCGUAACAAGGUUUCCGUAGGUGAACCUGCGGAAGGAUCAUUAUUAAAAAGUCCUCCGCCGGAGAUUUUUUGGUGGGUCGGGAUUUCGAUUGGCGUUGACCCUUUCGGUGUGCUGCUCGGUCACGAGCAAAUCCGAAGCUGCGCCAGACUUUUCCCGGCUGCCGGCUUUCCGGUGUUUAUGGGCACAAAAGCGCUCUGGAGUCGUGUGUGGUGUGUGCUCGAGCCCAUUUCGAGCUGCGCCGACCGACUCCUGGCCAAAAACAUUGUUACCGCCGUCAUUCUUCUGUCUGAGUAAAUUGCACAUCCUCCUCGAAAACUCGCUGUGCAAAGCACGGAUUUUUCGAUUGGAGGGGGAUUUUAAAUCCAGAAACAACUUUUAACAAUGGAUCUCUUGGCUCUC
rnacentral:misc_RNA from 1 species